CAUGUGACAGUAAUCAAUUAAGGCAGCUGUAACUACAAGCAUUCCUGCAGAUUAUAAAGGAUACGUUUUCUUCAUGCUGAAUUGACCCAGUGUGUCAUUACACACCAUACCGUUCCACAAUGAUUACAACCCUAUCUUCAUGCCCUUCAUGCUAAAUGUUAUCCGUGUUGCUGAGAAGUCCCACCCUAGAAGUAACCCCACCCCUCAGUUCACCCCUCAGCCUCCUCCCAGAUAGAGGGCUUUUGUUCUGCAUCUAAUGUUUUCAUUAGGAAACUGGGCGCAACCAAGGGCGCGAGAGUGAGUGCAGGGCAAAGAGUGAGGGAGGAGAGAGAGAGAAGGAAGGAAGGAAGGAAAAAAUUGCAUACAGUCUAGGUUAGCGUUCAGGAGAUUUUUGGGCACUGAAUACACUCUCCUCUCCUCCGCCAUGACCCGCCCUGCCACCAUCUCACUUGGACUUCUGCUCCUCCUUAUUGCCUACACAGCUGCAGGACCUGAGUCUGAGCUCCAACCCAGAGCUGUCCGGUCGAGUGCCUGUCAGGACCACAGUACUCUUCAUGACAGACUGGAUGUAGUGGAGAAGAUUGGUAAAUUCGUCUAGCCAGCUAUCCAAACGUGUGGUAAUCAUGGUCGAAUUAUGGACCCGGGGACCCCCCAUUGAUUUUCGUGUAGAGGACACAGUCCAGAAGCUAGAGGCUGAGCUGGCUGUGCUACUGGAUGCCAUAGAGGCCCCUGAGUGGAGCCCCCUGCUGGAAACUGCUGGAAAACCUGUGGUGGACAUCCUGGACGGCCAGGGACUGGGAGAAGGUGGCGACUCCUGAGAGAGGAGAGCAGAGAUCUCUGUUGGGUGGCUAUGCUACUUCACUCUGCCCUGAUGAGGGUGCACCUGGCAAGGACAGACAAUGAAAGACACUUUAAUGUACAAUCUUUGUUUUUCUGGAGUUGGAAGUGUACACAAACUGUAUAAAACAAGCCCUUUAAAGAGUAAACACAGGCUUAGUAUGUAUUCUGUGCAACAGUUGAUAGAUCCCGACACUAAAGCUUACUUGUCUGCAUAAUACACUCCUCUAAUCCUCAGACACUCUCAUCCUUUCUUCCUUCUUAGACUAAACCUGAAUCCCUACACAACACACAAGGGUAACCGUCUCAGCCUCUCAGGAUGGUUACAGUUCUAAACAAUUGAUACUUUGGUUUUGUCUAGUAAUGCAUUCUGUUCUAUGUGGGAUUGUGUCCCUUUCUCGUCCCAUGCCUCUGUUCCACCCCCUGGUGCCAGUUGAGAGCUACACAUGCAGCACCGAGCCACAAGGUAGGCCGUGCCCUUUACCACAGAUCAGGAAUCAGGUUACACAACCCCUAUCCUAAACCAUUAGGGAGGCUUGAAAUAAUACCCAACCUUGUAUCAGUGGUUAAGGGCAACUAAUAAUCUCAAUGUGGAUGAAUGAUGAAAACCAAUAGAGAGUACUGGAAGGAAUUUAUUUAUCAAAGCAGUUAAAGCAACAUGUUUCAAUACACAGAGCAGUUUGAAUAGGUACAGUACAAGGCUUCCACUGAGACCCAGGCUAGUUGCAAGUGUAUUUAUUUAGUCCCCAUAAAAAUCCUACAGAACAUGUUCAAAAUCGAAACAAAGAGGAGAGUGGUCAUAGAUUUUGUUUUCUCAAAAAUGGACACUACAUUACUAAAUGUUGCUACAAAGAUAAGACAGUACUAUUAUCUGUGAGAGCUUUAAUCCUUAUCCAGUUGAUGGGAAAAGUACUGUGGUGAUUGGUCACUCGUUCUAUCACAACGCUGUUUGAAACACCCAGGUAAAUAUACUUACAACAAUAUUAUCCAAUAAACUAGCAUGUAAACACAAUGGUCCAAACAUAUGAAAGAUUUUUGGGGGUUAGGCAAGCAACAUCCGACCAGGAAUGGAGGUGCAUUUUAAAUGAUAAUCAAGGGAAUGACAUCGGGCUACAAUAUUGUUGAACUUAGAAAUAAAACGACCGAGCAGGGUUUCCAUUAAAAUCGAUGACUAUUCAUUACAAACAAUCAACACAAUCGCAUGGCCAUUUCUAGCACUGGAGACUGAACAUCCAGUCAAGCUUUUUCAUCUAGUCGUCAGUAGUGAGGACAAUGUAAAGACAUGUCGAAGAGCAGUAUUUAAGACUUUUCACAUAGCUACGGGCAGACUCACACAAUGCCCCAAACCCUCGGCCUUAUCCCUUUCCCAUAUACAUAACAAAGCACAGAAAACCUAAACUUACCCACAUUGGAGCAUAGGAGGGCAUAGAUACUGACUUAUUAAAUCAUCCACUUAAAGAAAAGCCUGUGCACUUGGAACAUAUUCUUAAAACAAUCUACGGGAUGCCAAAAGUCACUGCAUACAGUCUAAAAUAUCAUGGCAUCCAUAUAACAAUGGGAAUAAAUUAUUUGUACAGUCGUAGGACUUGAAAUCUUUUUUUUUUUUUUUUAAGCAAACCUAGACAUCACAUAGACAGGCAAGCAGGACAGGGCUACACUGAUUAUAUGAGGCCUCUCCUCUGUCAAUCAUCAGAACACAGGUGAACAUCAAGGUAUUCUACUGCCUGAAGCUUGCAUGUGCACAUACUGUAAGCCACCCACAAACCCUAGCGUUUGGCUCUCCUACAAAAUCUGCUUUAAACUGUAAAUAGAGGUGCAUGCAAAAAUGCAGGGUUCGAGACGCUAUGGGCGUAACUAAUGCGCUUAUUUUCAUAGGAAAUCAGAUUUCCCCCCCAUAUAAUUGAAUAAUAUUUUAUUUCUCCCCAAAAACAUUCCUUUAUAUAUAAUCACAAUAAAUGUUCGUAUACAAAUGAUAGUAUUUUCACAGAAGGAACAGUGGUUAUAUGCGCUACAGAGAGGAAACACAUUCACACACAAAGUUCUUAGAAAUGGCAAUGCAAAUGGUAGAAAAGCUUUGGCAUAUCUGCCUACAAGUUGUGCCUGCACACUUGGAAAUAAAAUGAGUACAACAGUGUAUGAAUGUUUGGCUUCAUACUACUCUUAAUUUAGUAACAUGUACGUUUAGUAAGCAGUCCCACAUAAAACUGUGGAGCGAGGUUAGGCUAUUUACACCUUACUUUGUUAGGCCUUAGGGUUUUAAGGUGGACAAUGCUACAUGUUCCCAGAUGUCCAGGCUGAGAGUAAUGGCACCACCUUAAAAUGUACCACAACUAAUAAUACUGCCCCGGGAUCAUUUUUCAUACAGGAGUGAUCGAGACAAUCAAAUGAAAGACGAUUGUUAAAAUGUCACGGUCAUCUUAGUCUAAUAAGGGAUUAUGUUCAACUACGAGAUUCUUCUGUAGCUAUUCAAUAGAAGCUGAUCAUGUCUGAUCCAUGGACAAAGAAAGACUAGAACAGGCAAAGCCUCCCAUACCACGUCAAUUUAACUAAACCUUUACGGGGUACGCUCAAUAUGAUUCUUCUUCUAUGGUCUGAUCCCCUGGUAGCGACAAUGUUUAUGUUUAACGUAUAAGAACUCAAGCAGUACGAGCAUGUAACCCCCAGUGGAGCCGUGGGAUAAUAGAACAGCGUCUUGGCAACAGUCACAGAGAUCGACCGUGAGGGAAACCUUCCAUUUACACCACAGAUGUACUAAGUCCCUCUAACUGACAGGGCAUUUGAAAAAACGAACAAUGUCUGGAAAAAAGGUUUCGUUGGAGGAGCGUAAAUCACCGUAGUAAAAAUCAAACCAGCAUGCUGAUGCAUAAUAUAGUCACAAUUAACGUGUAAUGAAUGGCUAUUGAUUAACAAUCAACACCACUUCAAAAUGGUUCUACGUUAUCGGAUUGAACUAGUGAUUUAUUUGAAAUUGCAAAACCUCCUUGUCCCGAAUGGCCCAUACUGUAAUGUAUGUAUCUAUUAGAAGACUCACUUACUGUGA
rnacentral:lncRNA from 1 species